rnacentral:tRNA from 1 species
AUCAAAUUAGCAAAGAUAAUGCAACUGACUUAGGAUCAGUAGACAUAGGUGAAAUUCCUUUAUUUGAUA